GACGAACGCUGGCGGCGUGCUUAACACAUGCAAGUCGAGCGGAAAGGCCACUUCGGUGGUACUCGAGCGGCGAACGGGUGAGUAACACGUGAGUAAUCUGCCCCUGGCUUUGGGAUAGCCACCGGAAACGGUGAUUAAUACCGGAUACGACCACUUCUCGCAUGGGAUGGUGGUGGAAAGUUUUUUCGGCCAGGGAUGUGCUCGCGGCCUAUCAGCUUGAUGGUGAGGUAAUGGCUCACCAUGGCUUCGACGGGUAGCCGGCCUGAGAGGGUGACCGGUCACCCUGGGACUGAGACACGGCCCAGACUGCGACGGGAGGCAGCAGUGGGGAAUAUUGGACAAUGGGCGGAAGCCUGAUCCAGCAACGCCGCGUGAGGGAUGACGGCCUUCGGGUUGUAAACCUCUUUCAGCAGGGACGAAGCGCAAGUGACGGUACCUGCAGAAGAAGCACCGGCCAACUACGUGCCAGCAGCCGCCGUAA
rnacentral:rRNA from 1 species